rnacentral:rRNA from 1 species
GGCGGUUCGCCGCCCCCGACGUCGCGAGAAGUCCAUUGAACCUUAUCAUUUAGAGGAAGGAGAAGUCGUAACAAGGUUUCCGUAGGUGAACCUGCGGAAGGAUCAUUGUCGUGACCCUGACCAAAACAGACCGCGCACGCGUCAUCCAAUCCGUCGGCGACGGCACCGUCCGUUGCUCGGCCAAUGCCUCGACCACCUCCCCUCUUCGGAGUGGGUGGGGGCUCGGGGUAAAAGAACCCACGGCGCCGAAGGCGUCAAGGAACACUGUGCAUAACCCGGGGGCAUGGCUAGCUUGCUAGCCGUCCCUCGUGUUGCAAAGCUAUUUAAUCCACACGACUCUCGGCAACGGAUAUCUCGGCUCUCGCAUCGAUGAAGAACGUAGCGAAAUGCGAUACCUGGUGUGAAUUGCAGAAUCCCGCGAACCAUCGAGUCUUUGAACGCAAGUUGCGCCCGAGGCCACUCGGCCGAGGGCACGCCUGCCUGGGCGUCACGCCAAAACACGCUCCCAACCCCCCUCAUCGGGAAUCGGGAUGCGGCAUCUGGUCCCUCGUCUCGCAAGGGGCGGUUGACCGAAGAUCGGGCUGCCGGCRUACCGCGUCGGACACAGCGCAUGGUGGGCGUCCUCGCUUUAUCAACGCAGUGCAUCCGACGCGCAGCCGGCAUGAUGGCCUCAAAACGACCCAGCAAACGAAGCGCACGUCGCUUCGACCGCGACCCCAGGUCAGGCGGGACUACCCGCUGAGUUUAAGCAUAUAAAUAAG